rnacentral:lncRNA from 1 species
UUCUUGGGAGGCCUCAGGAAACUUAUAAUCAUGGUAGAAGGGAAAGCAACAAUUCAAUCACCUCCCACCAGGCCCCACCUCCAAUACUGGGAAUUACAAUUCGACAUGAGACUUGGGUGGGGACACACAGCCAAACCACAUCAAUAACCUUUCACAUUUUCUCAAUAUAAUAGUUUGGCCCUAUGUCCACCUUCUUAACAGCUAGUUUCAAGAGAAAGUUAAUCAAUGCCGACAGGGACCAUUCUUGAAAAGACGUGGUACAAGACAGUAUAUUUUUAUUUAGAUACUGUGUUUUGGCAUAGAAAGAAGGUAAAGUUGAUGAAUAGGAUAUGGAACAUGAAG